UGUAUUUACGAACUUUUUUCAACGCGAAAUUCACCUGUGAAUUUCAUGUCGAACUCUAUUGCUGGCAAUUGUAGUCGAUAGAAGCAGGCUGCUGAGCAAAAAUCAUGAAAAAAUUACUUUAUUCAGUCGAAGAAAAUUAAAAAAAAAGAAAAAGACAAGAAAUAAGAAAAGCACACAAAAAUUACUUACAGAGCUUUCAGUUGAGAAAAAAGGCACAAGAGCGAGGAAUAGGAUGAAAUGGAAAAAAAUGUUACCAUUCGUAUAAAAUUCUUGGUUUAACAAAAAAUGACGUGUGAUUUCCAAUGAGGCUUUUACAGAUGGAUCUUAGUUUUGGGGCUUACAAAAUCCAACUCGUGCAAGAAUUGAAACUGAAUCCAUCGCGUCGAACGGUCGGUGAAUGGGCCCGAAACGAGGUGGCCACCGAUCCCGAUUUUCACAAGAAUAUUUUGUUCGGCGAUGAAGCGCACUGUUGGUUGAAUGAGUACGUUAGUAAACAAAAUUGUUGCAUUUGGAGUGGUGAUUUAUUAUUAUUACUUAUGUAAUCACUGAGGUACGUAAAUAAGCUGCUGACGCCUAAAGUAAGUAAUUUAGUAUCAGUUAUAAAUGUAUACCAUGGGGUAGAAUAGUUCAUACCAGAAACACUAUUAGAAACGACCUUGUUACCUCAUUCGAUGAACAAGAUUUAUAAAUUAAUUGUAUCAGUAGAUUAUCUUAUAUAAUAACAAACAAUAAAUCACUAUUAUUGUCCUCGGGUAUAAACCCUGAUUAGAAAUACUGCCAAAGUUGUACGACAUAUCGCUGAAACGUUAUUUUUUUAAUGGAAAAACGAAUUGGACAUUGUCUCCUGAGAAUGACAAAUACAAGUUAACACAUAGCAAUAGCUGGAUAAGUGGCUAAGACCGCUAAGUUGUAGGAACUAAGCUAUGAGCGCCCAUUUCCUUUUUCUCAGAUUGAGAAAGUGGCUACUAGGAAAAACAUUUCAUUGAAAUGAGGAGGUUAAGUUGGAAAUAAAUUUCUUUUUGGAAGACCUUGAAGUUUCACACCAUAGAACCGGCCAAGGACAUUUCACAUCUUGUAUUCGCAAUCGACUUAAUGGUAAACAUAUUUUUCAACAAUUUCAAUAAUUCAAUAUGGAAAGCAAUAACGGGCGCAAACGAAUUUCCUUAAAUUAUUGCGUUUUUAUUAAAAAAUGCUACAAUUUCUUGACAUUCCAGUUAAUAAAAAGCUUUCGCAAACAAUAC